CGUGAUUCAUGCUGAAUUUCAAUGUCAGUCAUGCAAUCGAAAGGAAUGGUGUGCCAGCUCAAAUCUAUUAGGCAGUAGAUACCUAAUUAAUCAGAAGCUCAUACAUGCGUUUACUUGUGCUGGAAUGCUCCCAUCACAGUACUACCAUUUCUGUAGAUUUGCAUCGCUUGGUAUAGUUGGGAAUAGGUACACUGCUUCAGUAUGUAAGUCAAAGGGGUAUGUAGGUGCUAUUGAAAGUUGUGCUGAAGCAUCAAUGAUGAAGGCAAUUGAUGAAAUCAAGUCAACCUCUAAAUAUAAGACUGAUGGAGAGUGGGUCAUCACUGAUGCUAGGCAUGACUCAACUGCUAAUGCCUACCAUACAACUGUGCCGUGUCUUUCUAAAAGGUACUUGUAUUUUGUAGUG